rnacentral:rRNA from 1 species
GGGUGAGUAACACGUGGGCAAUCUGCCCUGCACUCUGGGACAAGCCCUGGAAACGGGGUCUAAUACCGGAUGACACCCCCUCUCGCAUGGGAGGGGGUUGAAAGCUCCGGCGGUGCAGGAUGAGCCCGCGGCCUAUCAGCUUGUUGGUGAGGUAGAAGCUCACCAAGGCGACGACGGGUAGCCGGCCUGAGAGGGCGACCGGCCACACUGGGACUGAGACACGGCCCAGACUCCUACGGGAGGCAGCAGUGGGGAAUAUUGCACAAUGGGCGAAAGCCUGAUGCAGCGACGCCGCGUGAGGGAUGACGGCCUUCGGGUUGUAAACCUCUUUCAGCAGGGAAGAAGCGAAAGUGACGGUACCUGCAGAAGAAGCGCCGGCUAACUACGUGCCAGCAGCCGCGGUAAUACGUAGGGCGCAAGCGUUGUCCGGAAUUAUUGGGCGUAAAGAGCUCGUAGGCGGCUUGUCACGUCGGUUGUGAAAGCCCGGGGCUUAACCCCGGGUCUGCAGUCGAUACGGGCAGGCUAGAGUGUGGUAGGGGAGAUCGGAAUUCCUGGUGUAGCGGUGAAAUGCGCAGAUAUCANGAGGAACACCGGUGGCGAANGCGGAUCUCUGGGCCAUUACUGACGCUGAGGAGCGAAAGCGUGGGGAGCGAACAGGAUUAGAUACCCUGGUAGUCCACGCCGUAAACGGUGGGAACUA